UUUUUCCACUAGUGUAGUUUCGUUCCACAGUGCAAUGUGAAAGAGAACCGCACCAGUUGAAAAUGUAACAAAUGUUGGUUUUGGUCCCCAGACUAUCAGGUGUGAAAACACCCUUACUGCCCUGAGUGUUUCUUUCUUUCAUGGAUACAACUGAGCUCAUAGGUU